GACGAACGCUGGCGGCGUGCUUAACACAUGCAAGUCGAACGGAAAGGCCCUUCGGGGUACUCGAGUGGCGAACGGGUGAGUAACACGUGGGUGAUCUGCCCUGCACUUUGGGAUACGCCUGGGAAACUGGGUCUAAUACCGAAUAGGACCGCGCGCUUCAUGGUGUGUGGUGGCAAGCUUUUGCGGUGUGGGUUGGGCCCGCGGCCUAUCAGCUUGUUGGUGGGGUACUGGCCUACCAAGGCCACGACGGGUAGCCGGCCUGAGAGGGUGACCGGCCACACGGGGACUGAGAUACGGCCCAGAAUCCUACGGGAGGCAGCAGUGGGGAAUAUUGCACAAUGGGCGCAAGCCUGAGGCAGCGACGCCGCGUGAGGGAUGACGGCCUUCGGGUUGUAAACCUCUUUCACCAGGGACGAAGCGCAAGUGACGGUACCUGGAGAAGAAGCACCGGCUAACUACGUG
rnacentral:rRNA from 1 species